CCUACGGGAGGCAGCAGUGGGGAAUAUUGCACAAUGGGGGAAACCCUGAUGCAGCGACGCCGCGUGAGUGAAGAAGUAUUUCGGUACGUAAAGCUCUAUCAGCAGGGAAGAAAAACCGGCCUUAGGGCCGCCAGACGGUACCUGCCUAAGAAGCCACGGCUAACUACGGGCCAGCAGCCGCGGUAAUACGUAGGGGGCAAGCGUUAUCCGGAUUUACCGGGUGUAAAGGGAGCGUAGACGGCAGCGCAAGUCUGGAGUGAAAUGCCGGGGCCCAACCCCGGAACUGCUUUGGAAACUGUGCAGCUGGAGUGCAGGAGAGGUAAGCGGAAUGCAUAGUGUAGCGGUGAAAUGCGUAGAUAUUAGGAGGAACACCAGUGGCGAAGGCGGCUUACUGGACUGUAACUGACGUUGAGGCUCGAAAGCGUGGGGAGCAAACAGGAUUAGAUACCCGAGUAGUC
rnacentral:rRNA from 1 species